rnacentral:rRNA from 1 species
AUUCCAGCUCCAAUAGCGUAUACUAAAGUUGUUGCGAUUAAAAAGCUCGUAGUUGGAUCUCAGGCAUGGGCGCACGGCCCGCCUCGCGGCGGUCACUGUGUGAAUUGUUUUCCCAUCCUACGCUUCCCGGUUGUUCAGCCCAUGGUGCUCUUCAUUGAGCGUUUUGGGUGGCCGGAACGUUUACUUUGAAGAAAUUAGAGUGUUCAAAGCAGGCACAUCGCCUGAAUAAUGGUGCAUGGAAUGAUGGAAUAGGACCUCGGUUCUAUUUUGCUGGUUUUCGGAACACGAGGUAAUGAUUAAGAGGGACAGACGGGGGCAUCCGUAUUGCGGUGUUAGAGGUGAAAUUCUUGGAUCAUCGCAAGACGAACAACUGCGAAAGCAUUUGCCAAGCAUGUUUUCAUUA